UGCAGCCGAGCGGUAGAGUUCCUUCGGGAACUUGAGAGCGGCGCACGGGUGCGGAACACGUGUGCAACCUGCCUUUAUCUGGGGGAUAGCCUUUCGAAAGGAAGAUUAAUACCCCAUAAUAUGUUGUAUGGCAUCAUACGACAUUGAAAACUCCGGUGGAUAGAGAUGGGCACGCGCAAGAUUAGAUAGUUGGUGAGGUAACGGCUCACCAAGUCUGCGAUCUUUAGGGGGCCUGAGAGGGUGAUCCCCCACACUGGUACUGAGACACGGACCAGACUCCUACGGGAGGCAGCAGUGAGGAAUAUUGGACAAUGGGUGAGAGCCUGAUCCAGCCAUCCCGCGUGAAGGACGACGGCCCUAUGGGUUGUAAACUUCUUUUGUAUAGGGAUAAACCUUUCCUCGUGAGGGAAGCUGAAGGUACUAUACGAAUAAGCACCGGCUAACUCCGUGCCAGCAGCCGCGGUAAUACGGAGGGUGCAAGCGUUAUCCGGAUUUAUUGGGUUUAAAGGGUCCGUAGGCGGAUUUGUAAGUCAGUGGUGAAAUCUCACAGCUUAACUGUGAAACUGCCAUUGAUACUGCAAGUCUUGAGUGUUGUUGAAGUAGCUGGAAUAAGUAGUGUAGCGGUGAAAUGCAUAGAUAUUACUUAGAACACCAAUUGCGAAGGCAGGUUACUAAGCAACAACUGACGCUGAUGGACGAAAGCGUGGGGAGCGAACAGGAUUAGAUACCCUGGUAGUCCACGCCGUAAACGAUGCUAACUCGUUUUUGGGACGCAAGUUUCAGAGACUAAGCGAAAGUGAUAAGUUAGCCACCUGGGGAGUACGAACGCAAGUUUGAAACUCAAAGGAAUUGACGGGGGCCCGCACAAGCGGUGGAUUAUGUGGUUUAAUUCGAUGAUACGCGAGGAACCUUACCAAGGCUUAAAAUGGGAAAUGACAGGUUUAGAAAUAGACUUUUCUUCGGACAUUUUUCAAGGUGCUGCAUGGUUGUCGUCAGCUCGUGCCGUGAGGUGUUAGGUUAAGUCCUGCAACGAGCGCAACCCCUGUCACUAGUUGCCAUCAUUAAGUUGGGGACUCUAGUGAGACUGCCUACGCAAGUAGAGAGGAAGGUGGGGAUGACGUCAAAUCAUCACGGCCCUUACGCCUUGGGCCACACACGUAAUACAAUGGCCGGUACAGAGGGCAGCUACACAGCGAUGUGAUGCAAAUCUCGAAAGCCGGUCUCAGUUCGGAUUGGAGUCUGCAACUCGACUCUAUGAAGCUGGAAUCGCUAGUAAUCGCGCAUCAGCCAUGGCGCGGUGAAUACGUUCCCGGGCCUUGUACACACCGCCCGUCAAGCCAUGGAAGUCUGGGGUACCUGAAGUCGGUGACCGUAACAGGAGCUGCC
rnacentral:rRNA from 1 species